rnacentral:rRNA from 1 species
UCCUUAGUUUACCAGCACGUUAUGGUGGGCACUCUAAGGAGACUGCCGGUGACAAACCGGAGGAAGGUGGGGAUGACGUCAAGUCAUCAUGGCCCUUACGGCCUGGGCUACACACGUGCUACAAUGGUCGGUACAAAGGGUUGCCAAGCCGCGAGGUGGAGCUAAUCCCAUAAAACCGAUCGUAGUCCGGAUCGCAGUCUGCAACUCGACUGCGUGAAGUCGGAAUCGCUAGUAAUCGUGAAUCAGAAUGUCACGGUGAAUACGUUCCCGGGCCUU